rnacentral:rRNA from 1 species
UACGUAGGCAGCGAGCGUUGUUCGGAGUUACUGGGCGUAAAGCGUGCGUAGGCGGUGUCUUAAGUUUGUUGUGAAAUCUCCCGGCUUAACCGGGAGGGUGCGGCGAAUACUGGAGAUGCUGGAGUGCCGGAGAGGUAAGCGGAAUUCCUGGUGUAGCGGUGAAAUGCGUAGAUAUCAGGAGGAACACCUGCGGUGUAGACGGCUUACUGGACGGUAACUGACGCUGAGGCACGAAAGCGUGGGUAGCAAACAGG